rnacentral:rRNA from 1 species
UUGCAGGCUGCAACUCGCCUGCAUGAAGUCGGAAUUGCUAGUAAUCGCGGAUCAGCAUGCCGCGGUGAAUACGUUCCCGGGUCUUGUACACACCGCCCGUCACACCAUGGGAGUUGGAAAUGCCCGAAGUCGGUGACCUAACCGAAAGGGAGGAGCCGCCGAAGGCAGGUCUGAUAACUGGGGUGAAGUCGUAACAAGGUACC